rnacentral:rRNA from 1 species
UACGUAGGGAGCAAGCGUUGUCCGGAAUCAUUGGGCGUAAAGCGCGCGUAGGUGGCCUCAUAAGUCCGCUGUGAAAGUCAAAAGGCUCAACCUUUGAAAGCCGGUGGAUACUGUGAGGCUAGAGUACGGAAGAGGCGAGUGGAAUUCCUGGUGUAGCGGUGGAAUGCGCAGAUAUCAGGAGGAACACCAAUAGCGAAGGCAGCUCGCUGGGACGUUACUGACACUGAGGCGCGAAAGCGUGGGGGAGCGAACAGG